rnacentral:lncRNA from 1 species
CAUAAACCAAAAAUUGGAAAAGCUUGAAGAGGGGUUCUUCAAUAUCCAUAAGACUAGGGCCCUCCGAGCAAAUCAUGGACGGGGCAUGUCUGCUGUUGCAUUUGUUUCCUUCCAUUAAUAUGAUAUUCGUGGGGAUAUAUUUUCUCUUACUCAAACAUUCCUCCUAUUGCCCAGGGCGUAUCUCCAUGCCGUGGAGGACUCCCACGCAGGUCUGUGAUUGUUUGGUCUCUCCCGGCCCGACCUUCUUGGAGUUUCCAAGGAUUCCAUCACCGUGGGCCUCACAUGCUUCCCUGGGGAUUUAGUGCAAUUGGCUUCUUCCCAUUUUAUACAGAGAUUGUUGC